GAUGAACGCUGGCGGCGUGCCUAAUACAUGCAAGUCGAGCGAACGGACGAGAAGCUUUCUUCUCUGAUGUUAGCGGGGGACGGGUGAGUAACACGUGGAUAACCUACCUAUCAGACUGGGAUAACUUCGGGAAACCGGAGCUAAUUCCGGCUAAUAUUGUGAACCGCAUGGUUCAAAAGUGAAAGACGGUCUUCGUGUCACUUAGAGAUGGAUCCGCGCUGCAUUAGCUAGUUGGUAAGGUAACGGCUUACCAAGGCAACGAUGCAUAGCCGACCUGAGAGGGUGAUCGGCCACACUGGAACUGAGACACGGUCCAGACUCCUACGGGAGGCAGCAGUAGGGAAUCUUCCGCAAUGGGCGAAAGCCUGACGGAGCAACGCCGCGUGAGUGAUGAAGGUCUUCGGAUCGUAAAACUCUGUUAUUAGGGAAGAACAUAUGUGUAAGUAACUGUGCACAUCUUGACGGUACCUAAUCAGAAAGCCACGGCUAACUACGUG
rnacentral:rRNA from 1 species